GUGGGGAAUCUUGCGCAAUGGGCGAAAGCCUGACGCAGCCAUGCCGCGUGAAUGAUGAAGGUCUUAGGAUUGUAAAAUUCUUUCACCGGGGACGAUAAUGACGGUACCCGGAGAAGAAGCUCCGGCUAACUUCGUGCCAGCAGCCGCGGUAAUACGAAGGGGGCUAGCGUUGCUCGGAAUUACUGGGCGUAAAGGGCGCGUAGGCGGACAGCUUAGUCAGAGGUGAAAGCCCAUGGCUCAACCUUGGAAUUGCCUUUGAUACUGGCUGUCUUGAGUUUGGGAGAGGUGAGUGGAACUCCGAGUGUAGAGGUGAAAUUCGUAGAUAUUCGGAAGAACACCAGUGGCGAAGGCGACUCACUGGCCCAAUACUGACGCUGAGGCGCGAAAGCGUGGGGAGCAAACAGGAUUAGAAACCCGAGUAGUCC
rnacentral:rRNA from 1 species